rnacentral:rRNA from 1 species
UACAGAGGCCUCGAGCGUUAUCCGGAAUUAUUGGGCGUAAAGGGUGCGUAGGUGGUUAUAUUAGUCGAAUGUCAAAGACCCGGGCUUAACCUGGGGAAGGCAUUCGAAACGGUAUUGACUAGAGUCAGUGAGAGGUAUGCAGAACUCAUGGAGUAGGGGUGAAAUCCGUUGAUCUCAUGGGGAAUACCAAAUGCGAAGGCAGCAUACUGGCACUGUACUGACACUGAGGCACGAAAGCGUAGGUAGCGAA